AGCGUGCGCAGGCGGUAAUGUAAGACAGAUGUGAAAUACCCCGGGCCUCAACCUGGGAACUGCAUUUGUGACUGCAUUGCUGGAGUGCGGCAGAGGGGGAUGGAAUUCCGCGUGUAGCAGUGAAAUGCGUAGAUAUGCGGAGGAACACCGAUGGCGAAGGCAAUCCCCUGGGCCUGCACUGACGCUCAUGCACGAAAGCGUGGGGAGCAAACAGGAUUAGAUACCCCAGU
rnacentral:rRNA from 1 species